ensembl:lncRNA
GGCAGCUCUGUUUUCACCCACAGGGCACAGGAUGGUGAGAUUCAGAAUGUGUGACUUGUAUAAGCAAAAGAUCACACCAGUCAAUCCUAAAGGAAAUCAAUCCUGAAUAUUCAUUGGAAGGACUGAUGAUGAAGCUGAAGCUCCAAUACUUUGGCUACCUGAUGCGAAGAACUGACUCAUUGGAAAAGACCCUGAUACUGGGAAAGAUUGAAGGCAGGAGGAGAAGGGGAUGACAGAAGAUGAGAUGGCUGGAUGACAUCACAGAUUCAAUGGACAUGAGUUUGAGCAAGCUCUGGGAGAUGGUGAAGGACAGGGACGCUUCCUGUGCUGCAGUCCAUGGUGUCACAAAGAGUUGGACACAACUGAGCAACUGAAAAACAACAAUAUAUGUACAUUUGUAUUCUGCCUUUCCCCCCAUUUCAUGUGAUAUUACAAAAAUUGUCAACUUAAUUGAAAGUAUCAUUUUAAAUGGCUACAAAGUAUUCUAUGAGGUCAUUAUAAAGUAGC